rnacentral:rRNA from 1 species
CCUACGGGAGGCAGCAGUGAGGAAUAUUGGUCAAUGGACGAGAGUCUGAACCAGCCAAGUAGCGUGAAGGAUGACUGCCCUAUGGGUUGUAAACUUCUUUUAUAUGGGAAUAAAAUGUUCCACGUGUGGCUUUUUGUAUGUACCAUAUGAAUAAGGAUCGGCUAACUCCGUGCCAGCAGCCGCGGUAAUACGGAGGAUCCGAGCGUUAUCCGGAUUUAUUGGGUUUAAAGGGAGCGUAGGUGGAUUGUUAAGUCAGUUGUGAAAGUUUGCGGCUCAACCGUAAAAUUGCAGUUGAAACUGGCAGUCUUGAGUACAGUAGAGGUGGGCGGAAUUCGUGGUGUAGCGGUGAAAUGCUUAGAUAUCACGAAGAACUCCGAUUGCGAAGGCAGCUCACUGGACUGCAACUGACACUGAGGCUCGAAAGUGUGGGUAUCAAACAGGAUUAGAUACCCUUGUAGUC